CCUACGGGAUGCAGCAGUGGGGGAUAUUGCACAAUGGAGGAAACUCUGAUGCAGCGACGCCGCGUGAGGGAAGACGGUCUUCGGAUUGUAAACCUCUGUCUGUGGGGAAGAAAAUGACGGUACCCAAAGAGGAAGCUCCGGCUAAAUACGUGCACGCAGCCGCGGUAAUACGUCUGGUGAAAACGUUAUCCGGAUUUACUGGGUGUAAAGGGAGCGCAGGCGGCACGGCAAGCCUGAUGUGAGAGCCCGCGGCCCACCAGCGGGACUGCAUUGGGAACUACCGGGCUGGCGUGCCGGAGAGGUAGGCGGAAUUCCUAGUGUAGCGGUUAAAUGCGUAGAUAUUAGGAGGAACACCAGUGGCGAAGGCGGCCUACUGGACGGUGACUGACGCUGAGGCUCGAAAGCGUGGGGAGCAACCAGGAUUAGAUACCCCUGUAGUC
rnacentral:rRNA from 1 species